GACGUAGGGCGCGAGCGUUGUCCGGAUUUAUUGGGCGUAAAGAGCUCGUAGGCGGCUUGUUGCGUCAGCUGUGAAAACCCGCAGCUCAACUGUGGGCUUGCAGCUGAUACGGGCAGGCUUGAGUUCGGUAGGGGAGACUGGAAUUCCUGGUGUAGCGGUGAAAUGCGCAGAUAUCAGGAGGAACACCGGUGGCGAAGGCGGGUCUCUGGGCCGAUGACUGACGCUGGGGAGCGAAAGCGUGGGGAGCGAACAGG
rnacentral:rRNA from 1 species